GUAGACUUGUAGUAUAGUGGUAAGUAUUCCCACCUGUCACGCGGGUGACACGGGUUCAAUACCCAGCAACUAUA
rnacentral:tRNA from 1 species